UACAGAGGUCUCAAGCGUUGUUCGGAUUUAUUGGGCGUAAAGAGCGUGUAGGCGGCUAGGUAGGUCCGUUGUGAAAACUCGAGGCUCAACCUCGAGACGUCGAUGGAAACCAUCUAGCUAGAGUCCGGAAGAGGAGAGUGGAAUUCCUGGUGUAGCGGUGAAAUGCGCAGAUAUCAGGAAGAACACCCGUGGCGAAGGCGGCUCUCUGGUACGUGACUGACGCUGAGACGCGAAAGCGUGGGGAGCAAACAGG
rnacentral:rRNA from 1 species